GUCCUUCCGCGACCCUGUAGUGCUAUCAGUUGUGUAAUUUAAACCUGUGAAAUGAAGUACACUUAUAAAGAUAUGAAACUAAGUCUGCGACAUUAGAACGUGCAUUUGAGUUCACUUCACAAGCCAAGUUUUAGCGUAAAAGAUUUAUUAGUUGACCGUAAAAAUGUCUGUUGAUCGUUUCUGUGAGACAAUGUGUAUAGCGACUAUAGCUGUUAUGUUUGGAUGUGUGGCUUGUAUAACAAUCAAGACACCCGUAGGAGCUAUUUCCGGUAUACAGGAAACAUUGACAGUUGACGGACGCCCAUACCGAAUGUCGACAUUCCUCGGUAUUCCAUUUGCAGAGUCUACCGCCGGAGAAAAUCGCUUCAAAAAGCCAAUUACCAAGGCGCCAUUUUUAAGCACGUUCGACGCUACCAAGAAUCCAAUGGCGUGCUUUCCGUCUCAUUUGGGAGGCGAAAUAAAGUAUGGAAAAUAUGUAAACUUUUCAGAAGACUGUUUGAAUCUCAACGUGUUUGUUCCCCAUUCAUUUGAGAAGAACGUCUCACUCCCGGUGAUGAUUUGGAUUUACGGAGGCUCUUUCGUAGAGGGCGCCACCGCAAUUUUCCCAGGAGAAGGCAUCAGUGCGUUUGGUGACGUCAUCGUGGUUACAGUAAGUUACAGACUUGGUAUGUUCGGAUUUAUCCAGAGCGCCGAUGGGAAACUUCCGGGUAACCUGGGACUUUGGGAUCAGCAUCUCGGAAUCAAAUGGGUUCAUGAUAACAUACAAGCUUUUACAGGAAAUCCAAAUGACGUUACGGUAUUUGGCGAAUCGGCAGGUGGCGCAUCUGUAAUAUUUCAGUCUCUUUAUCCGGGCAACCGAGGAUUCUUUCAGCGUGUGAUUGCACAGAGUGGCUCGGCGCUUGCUUAUUGGGCAGUCCAUGCUACACCAAACGCGGAACCGUUGAUUGCCAAGAAAGGCUGCGAGCGGGCGCCGGACCCAGUGAAAUGUCUUCGAGCCCUUACCCCUCGGCAACUUCAAGACGACGAUACUUCGGCCUGGCAACCAGUUAUUGACAGGGACUUUCUCUUAGCAUCCCCGCAGGAAAUUAUUUUCGGCAAUUCUUCUCACACUCAGAACGCGCGAAAUUUCUUUGCAUCGUUGGACCUUAUGACUGGCGCAAAUAAUUUUGACGGCGCUGUGUACUUCAGAGAUGUAUGGCCAUUCAUUUUUAAGACUACAGAUAUGAACACGUUCAACCUAACACGAGGGCAAUUUACAGGUAUUGCAAUACCUUCUAUAAUCGCAGACGCCAUCAAACCAAAGAACCACAAUAUUGCCUCAAUAAUGGGGAAGCUUCUUGAUUUCGAGUACACGGACUGGCAGCUUCCGAAUGACAGCGCCACCCUGCUGUUCAGUCUCACCAACAUGUCCAAUGACGUGGGUUUUUUCUACCCAGUCGUGUCCACGGUGAAAGGACACUCGUCACUAAGAAAGGGGAAGACGUAUUUGUACGAGCUGAGCGCUGUCCCAACGACGCAUACGUUACAAACACCAAACUGGAUACAAGGUUCUAACCACGCAGACGACAUUCAGUACGUAUUUGGGUAUCCGCUUUACGCCGGACCUCGCAGUACCGGAAACUACACGGAGGAGGAGCGUAGACUCGCCAGGGGCAUGGUUACCAUGUGGACGAACUUUGCUAAGUCAGGCGAUCCGAACCAACCGGAAGACGCCCGCCGAUUUACUAACGCCACCUGGGCCGAGUAUGACCUUAACUCUCAGAGCUUCCUACAUUUCACCAAUCAGGGAGCACUUCCGGGAUCAAGAUUCGAAGCGCGCCGGAUGCAGCUGUGGUUGGACCUCAUACCGACAAUAGCCCUUAUGGAGACUCCCCAAGCACACGGAACAGGGACGGUUCACGUACCUGAAAUCAUAAUUGGAAAAUAAUUCGCGCGUCAAUUAACCCUAACAAUUGUAUUCGAUUUGGUUUAAGCAAACUGUUCAUAUAUAUAUAUAUUCAACUGUAUACAAGCACCGCUUUCAUGUUGUUGCAUCAAUAAACGUCAAUAAAAUGUGAAUAAAAUGUGUGGAACAAUA